GACACCGCUGUUGAUGGCGUGGUGAAUGAGAGCUAUCAUAUCGGAUUCAGGCUUUGGAGGUCCAUAGAAGGCUGACAUGCUCAUGCACCCAAGUCCCUGAGCUGAUACCUCCAGCCCUUGUGAUCCAAGCUUUAUCCUCUUCACUCCUACUUCUGCCAUUUCUAAGCAAAAUAUUCUGUCUGUGACUGUGACAAGGGAAUUAGAAGCAGCAGAAACCACACAUUCACUUGCCAGCUCAUUUCUGUGCAUUUGUAGACUAUCGGGGAAAAGAAAAUUUAUUUACGCAUUGCCACGUGCCAUUUCGGUCCGACUUCGAGCUAAAAAAUAAAACUAAACCGGCCCUUU
rnacentral:misc_RNA from 1 species